rnacentral:rRNA from 1 species
UACGGGGGGGGCAAGCGUUGUUCGGAAUUACUGGGCGUAAAGGGCUCGUAGGCGGCCAACUAAGUCAGACGUGAAAUCCCUCAGCUUAACUGGGGAACUGCGUCUGAUACUGGAUGGCUUGGAUUCGGGAGAGGGAUGCGGAAUUCCAGGUGUAGCGGUGAAAUGCGUAGAUAUCGGAAGGAACACCGGUGGCGAAAGCGGCGCGCUGGACCUCUUCUGACGCUGAGGCGCGAAAGCCAGGGGAGCAAACGGG